CGAUUCACAAUCAUUUUGUAUUGUGCUGGGUGUAUUUAGGUGCUUCAAACGAGCAGUGUAUCGUCUUCAACCGACGACCCCUCCCCCUAGUCGUCCGUUAAAUCGAGGUUCUACUGGAGAUUAAAAAAAACCCAUUUUUGUCAUUAUUUCGUUUGUGUGAGCCAUUGCUCCAUCUACUGGAACUUCAAAGCAAUUGCAAGGUUUUUUUUCCCCAUGAGCGGUCAGGUGACCUCACCAGUAGCUAUAUUUAGUUUCGCUUAGCUUAGCUUAGCUUACAGAGCAGCUGAAGAGCGCAAACGAGGUGAGCAACAUUGCAAACAAUGACAUGUACGACCUCCGUGUAUUCAAAAUACUGCAGACUGAGGACAACUACAGCUUAACAAAAAGCACCACACACUGCUAUGCUAGGCUAACUACUAUGUAACAACAUACAAUAAAGCGCCACAUGCUGCUGCACUAAUCUACUACAUAUCAACAUCAGCAACACACACUCCGCUAUGCUAACUACUAGCUACCAAGGGAAAGUGCCACAUGCUGCUAUAAGCUAACUACUACAUCCGGCUGUUGCGCUGCUGUUUUGUGAGGUACAAGAUGGCCGAGGGCGUCGUGCUGUGACAUCACACGGCAGCCAUUUUAGCGAGCGGCUCGGUCAAUUCCCUGAAAACUUUGUGGGGAAACCAAAAUCCAGGACAACCGGGAGAAGCAGAGAAAGAGGCCGCGCAGCAGGUCGGGCGCAGUUUGGGAGGAGCGCCACACUGUCGCUCGCCUCAGAGACAAACCGAAGACACAAGAUGGACGGCUGGUUCUGCGCCUGGAGCACGAGGAGGUGGAAGAUGUGUGUACUUUCUAAUCUGUACGUUGACAAAAUAGGCGGCUUACGCUUUUAACCGCCACGACUGACGACACGACGUAAAUGGAAAGCGAAAGUCAAACGCAAAUGAGAGCUCGGGGAGGGGCAAAACAUAGAAAAGAUUCUCUGCAUGGGAGUCGUACCAACAUUACAGUCUGUCAGGCAGCCCUUUCCAAAAUGAGCAACAGAAGCAAAAGGAUGACAGUCCAGAAGGUUCUGGAAGGCAUCUUUGAUCAUGACCGUGAAAUAGAAAUGUGUCUGAAGAUGAAGGCUAUCUUGAGCUCAAUUCUGAUCCUAAUGAUUCUGAUUUUGAACCAGAUGAGGGAAGCGAUAUUCCUAUUCCUCCAAGCAAGACAAGAAAAUGGUGCAAUAUAGUGGUCUUCAUCCCCAAAUAUGUCAGUCAAUCUUCCAUGUUUGCCUUCGCAGACACCACAGCCCCAAAAAGGCACUGCACAAAACUGCUGAAAUCAGCAUAAGAGAGGACCAAAAACCAAGCAUGAUCCUGGAUUACAAUGCCACCAAAGGGGGGGGGGGGGUAGACAACUUGGACAAAGUAACACGGUCCGACAGCAGCAAGCGAAUGACUGCGCGCUGGCCACUGGUCAUCUUCCAUAACGUGAUCGACUGAGAUCUUUCCUGACUGGAAUGUGUCAAAGCUGUACAAGAGGCGCAUCUUUCUCCAUGAGCUGGGGAAGACACUUGUGACACCGCCCAGCCAACGGAGGCGGCACCUGCCAAGGACCUGCGGGAUCCGGGAGAGGACUGCACCUAGUACGCUAGAAGGUUGCUGCUGGGGGGGGGGGGGGGGAGGAAGAGGAAGAUGAAGAGGAAGAGGUGCCAUGUCUGCAGGCCAUCUGAUGAUGUCAAGACAAGCGUGACCUGUGCGGAAUGCGCAAAAUGAAUUUGCACAAAGCGCAGCGUGAUGACACGUCGCUCGUGCGCUGUGUAGAUGUUCGUCAACUUCCGGGACAACCCGUUGGCGCCGGAGAUGGCCACAACUGACGACGGCGACGACCGCGAGACGUUCGGACGAGAAUUCAUGCUG